AUACAUGCAAGUCGAACGAACUUCCGUUAAUUGAUUAUGAGGUGCUUGCACUGAAUGAGAUUUUAACACGAAGUGAGUGGCGGACGGGUGAGUAACACGUGGGUAACCUGCCCAGAAGCAGGGGAUAACACCUGGAAACAGAUGCUAAUACCGUAUAACAGAGAAAACCGCCUGGUUUUCUUUUAAAAGAUGGCUCUGCUAUCACUUCUGGAUGGACCCGCGGCGCAUUAGCUAGUUGGUGAGGUAACGGCUCACCAAGGCGAUGAUGCGUAGCCGACCUGAGAGGGUAAUCGGCCACAUUGGGACUGAGACACGGCCCAGACUCCUACGGGAGGCAGCAGUAGGGAAUCUUCCACAAUGGACGCAAGUCUGAUGGAGCAACGCCGCGUGAGUGAAGAAGGGUUUCGGCUCGUAAAGCUCUGUUGUUAAAGAAGAACGUGGGUGAGAGUAACUGUUCACCCAGUGACGGUAUUUAACCAGAAAGCCACGGCUAACUACGUGCCAGCAGCCGCGGUAAUACGUAGGUGGCAAGCGUUAUCCGGAUUUAUUGGGCGUAAAGCGAGCGCAGGCGGUCUUUUAAGUCUAAUGUGAAAGCCUUCGGCUCAACCGAAGAAGUGCAUUGGAAACUGGGAGACUUGAGUGCAGAAGAGGACAGUGGAACUCCAUGUGUAGCGGUGAAAUGCGUAGAUAUAUGGAAGAACACCAGUGGCGAAGGCGGCUGUCUGGUCUGUAACUGACGCUGAGGCUCGAAAGCAUGGGUAGCGAACAGGAUUAGAUACCCUGGUAGUCCAUGCCGUAAACGAUGAUUACUAAGUGUUGGAGGGUUUCCGCCCUUCAGUGCUGCAGCUAACGCAUUAAGUAAUCCGCCUGGGGGAGUACGACCGCAAGGUUGAAACUCAAAAGAAUUGACGGGGGCCCGCACAAGCGGUGGAGCAUGUGGUUUAAUUCGAAGCUACGCGAAGAACCUUACCAGGUCUUGACAUCUUCUGCCAACCUAA
rnacentral:rRNA from 1 species